CAAUAUCUGCCGCCGGGCAGCACCUGUUCCCAUUCCGUUAGGCCUUAGAAGGAGUGGGUGGCAGGUGUUUAUUUUU
rnacentral:ncRNA from 1 species